rnacentral:rRNA from 1 species
CGAUGAUCUCCAGCUUGCUGGGGGGAUUAGUGGCGAACGGGUGAGUAACACGUGAGUAACCUGCCCUUGACUCUGGGAUAAGCCUGGGAAACUGGGUCUAAUACCGGAUAUGACCAUCUGGCGCAUGUCAUGGUGGUGGAAAGCUUUUGUGGUUUUGGAUGGACUCGCGGCCUAUCAGCUUGUUGGUGGGGUAAUGGCCUACCAAGGCGACGACGGGUAGCCGGCCUGAGAGGGUGACCGGCCACACUGGGACUGAGACACGGCCCAGACUCCUACGGGAGGCAGCAGUGGGGAAUAUUGCACAAUGGGCGAAAGCCUGAUGCAGCGACGCCGCGUGAGGGAUGACGGCCUUCGGGUUGUAAACCUCUUUCAGUAGGGAAGAAGCGAAAGUGACGGUACCUGCAGAAGAAGCGCCGGCUAACUACGUGCCAGCAGCCGCGGUAAUACGUAGGGCGCAAGCGUUAUCCGGAAUUAUUGGGCGUAAAGAGCUCGUAGGCGGUUUGUCGCGUCUGCUGUGAAAGACCGGGGCUCAACUCCGGUUCUGCAGUGGGUACGGGCAGACUAGAGUGCAGUAGGGGAGACUGGAAUUCCUGGUGUAGCGGUGAAAUGCGCAGAUAUCAGGAGGAACACCGAUGGCGAAGGCAGGUCUCUGGGCUGUAACUGACGCUGAGGAGCGAAAGCAUGGGGAGCGAACAGGAUUAGAUACCCUGGUAGUCCAUGCCGUAAACGUUGGGCACUAGGUGUGGGGGACAUUCCACGUUUUCCGCGCCGUAGCUAACGCAUUAAGUGCCCCGCCUGGGGAGUACGGCCGCAAGGCUAAAACUCAAAGGAAUUGACGGGGGCCCGCACAAGCGGCGGAGCAUGCGGAUUAAUUCGAUGCAACGCGAAGAACCUUACCAAGGCUUGACAUGAACCGGAAAG